GCCAACGGAAUUUUGCCAACCUGCUCACACCUUUUUCACAAAUCUGGCCAACUUUUUAGCCAACCAUAGGUCAACAAAUUUUUGACCAAAUAUUUAGCUAGCCAAUUGUUGGCAAAAAUUGGGUAUACACGGGCAUAUCAGUCCAUCACCUUACGCGGCCCACGGCAGCUCAUGGGCCUUGUGUCGGGUUCUGGCAUGCGGGCCCUGUCAAUCGAAUUCAAUGUGCCGUUGCUAAACCCGUGACAUGUCAGUCAGCCACCCCCACCACAUCGCCAGCCCAAAGCAAAGCUGCAGCGAUUCCAUUACUCCGCGACAGCUCAGCCAGGGAAAUCCCCUAAAAAUAAACUCAGCCAGGGAAAUUCGCUAAAAAAAAAAACUCAGCCAGGGAAACCUCUCAUCUCGCCACUGCUUAGCAGCAACGCAAGUGUUAGACAGACUCACAGACACAUAUGCACAUGGCUUAAUUGCAUAUCAAUGGAUGGCACCGGGAAAUGCAGGUGUUUACAAAUGAAGCUCUAAGUACAACCAUAAUAGAGUUAAACAAAGAAAAAUGAACCUGG
rnacentral:lncRNA from 1 species